AGUGAACGCUGGCGGUAGGCCUAACACAUGCAAGUCGAACGGCAGCACAGUAAGAGCUUGCUCUUACGGGUGGCGAGUGGCGGACGGGUGAGGAAUACAUCGGAAUCUACUUUUUCGUGGGGGAUAACGUAGGGAAACUUACGCUAAUACCGCAUACGACCUACGGGUGAAAGCAGGGGAUCUUCGGACCUUGCGCGAUUGAAUGAGCCGAUGUCGGAUUAGCUAGUUGGCGGGGUAAAGGCCCACCAAGGCGACGAUCCGUAGCUGGUCUGAGAGGAUGAUCAGCCACACUGGAACUGAGACACGGUCCAGACUCAUACGGGAGGCAGCAGUGGGGAAUAUUGGACAAGGGGCGCAAGCCUGAUCCAGCCAUACCGCGAGGGUGAAGAAGGCCUGCGGGUUGUAAAGCCCUUUUGUUGGGAAAGAAAAGCAGCAGGUUAAUACCCCGCUGUUCGGACGGGACCCAAAGAAUAAGCACCGGCUAACUUCGU
rnacentral:rRNA from 1 species